rnacentral:lncRNA from 1 species
AUCAUGCUCUUAGGAGAAUACCGACCCAACUUAAGGAAUUUUUAGGCAUACUCAGACACUGUCAUCUCAUCCUGGGCCAGGAGUACAAACUCUAUCUCUUUCAAAUGCCGAAGAUGCUCUAGGAGAUAUUUUGCAUUGAAUGCUACCAGGAACUGUUCUCAAGUGACUGAAAUGGGUAAAGUGGCCCGCUUCACUUGCCACCAGCGACCUACCU